rnacentral:rRNA from 1 species
GAUGAACGCUGGCGGCGUGCCUAAUACAUGCAAGUCGAGCGAACGGACGAGAAGCUUGCUUCUCUGAUGUUAGCGGCGGACGGGUGAGUAACACGUGGAUAACCUACCUAUAAGACUGGGAUAACUUCGGGAAACCGGAGCUAAUACCGGAUAAUAUUUUGAACCGCAUGGUUCAAAAGUGAAAGACGGUCUUGCUGUCACUUAUAGAUGGAUCCGCGCUGCAUUAGCUAGUUGGUAAGGUAACGGCUUACCAAGGCAACGAUGCAUAGCCAACCUGAGAGGGUGAUCGGCCACACUGGAACUGAGACACGGUCCAGACUCCUACGGGAGGCAGCAGUAGGGAAUCUUCCGCAAUGGGCGAAAGCCUGACGGAGCAACGCCGCGUGAGUGAUGAGGUCUUCGGAUCGUAAAACUCUGUUAUUAGGGAAGAACAUAUGUGUAAGUAACUGUGCACAUCUUGACGGUACCUAAUCAGAAAGCCACGGCUAACUACGUG